CCCCUUUUUAAAAAGUAGCUUUUUUUACCUAUAGGCCAUCGAACAUUGUUCAUUGGAGUUCAUGUGCCACUGGGUGGAAGAAAAAGUCACCGACGCCAUAGGCACCGUGGACAUAAACACAGAAAGAGAGACAGAGAACGAGAUUCAGGAUUAGAAGAUGGGAGAGAGUCUCCUCCUUUUGAUACCCCGUCACAAAGGGUGCAGUUUAUUCUUGGAACAGAAGAUGAUGAUGAGGAGCACAUUCCUCAUGAUCUCUUUACUGAGCUUGAUGAAAUUUGUUGGCGUGAAGGAGAGGACGCAGAGUGGAGGGAGACAGCAAGGUGGUUGAAGUUUGAAGAAGAUGUAGAAGAUGGUGGAGAGAGGUGGAGCAAACCAUAUGUUGCCACACUGUCACUUCAUAGCUUGUUUGAGCUGAGAAGCUGUAUCUUGAAUGGCACAGUUCUUUUGGACAUGAGAGCUAACUCCAUAGAAGAAAUUGCAGGUAUGUAUUGG